UCUUCCACCGCGGACCACGGAUGGCCAGAUCUGCAGCUUAUGGGUUGAACCCCUGCACUGCAAUCCCCCUUGCACUGGCUCCACCUUUCUCUUCCUCUUCCACUUCCUCUUUCUCUUCCUUUUCCCCUUCCUCUUCCACCUCCUCUUUUAAUUGCCAACCAGUCCAGCCUCCCGGCCCCAUCUUCUUGGUUCACCUAAGAAAUCUUCCACCUGUUCAAGUCGCCGACUCCAAGGCUGCCAUCCACGCCAAAUCGGUGGCCGCUAGCACUGCGCCCAACAGCCACUGCUCGACUCGUUGCACCUGCCGCUGCUCGACGGAUCCGAGGGGGGCGAGAAGGACAAGGCGUGUGGCAGCUGUGAGGGAAAGAGAAGCAGGUUACCAUGGGGGCGUGUGGGACAAAUCUCUAAUGUACCAGGUUAGUCCAGAUUACACUCUCGCCGAUUCCAAUCCUCAUCUAUUGUCUUGCUGGUUUGCCACUGAUCUAGGUAUAUAAGGAUGGCCAGAUCUGCAGCUCAUGGGUUGAACCCCUGCACUGCAAUCCCCCUUGCACUGGCUCCACCUUUCUCUUCCUCUUCCACUUCCUCUUUCUCUUCCUCUUCCCCUUCCUCUUCCACUUCCUCUUUUAAUUGCCAACCAGUCCGGCCUCCCGGCCCCAUCUUCUUGGUUCACCUAAGAAAUCUUCCACCUGUUCAAGUCGCCGGCUCCAAGGCUGCCAUCCACGCCAAAUCGGUGGCCGCUAGCACUGCGCCCAACAGCCACUGCUCGGCUCCUUGCACCUGCCGCUGCUCGACGGAUCCGAGGGGGGCGAGAAGGACAGGGCGUGUGGCAGCUGUGAGGGAAAGAGAAGCAGGUUACCAUGGGGGCGUGUGGGACAAAUCUCUAAUGUACCAGGAUCCUUGCUUGCUGGCAUGCACAUCAAUUAUUAGCCAAAAUUUAAUACUAAAGUGGGUGAAGUUUCUGCACAUGGUUGUUAGUCAGCUGUAAAUAUUGCAGCAUUUCAACCAAGUCUAUAGAGGCAAGUAAUUUGAUUGCCAGGUAUAUCUACACAUGGAAUUAUAAGUUGGGCAGUUUAUGUUUAUCAACAUGUGAUCCUCUUUUUUCAUAGAUGAUCGUCUUAACGUGUUCAACACACUGAUUAGAUUUUCGUCAACUGUUUCAGUAUGCUGUUUGUGGCUUUUAUGGCUGUCACAUUUUGGCCUGACAACAGUUUCCUACAUCAUUAUUGCCUAUAGGAUUCCUUCGCUUGAAUCGUGGUCUCUAGAACUAUUCUGCAAGAUUUGGUAUGUACACUCCCUGUUGGUCUACUACUCAAAUCUGAAAAUUUUGUAUGUCCUUGGUAACAACUUAUUCCUCUCACUAUUUAUAUAUUUUGAACCCACUGACAUCUUUAUCACUAAUGCCAUCCUCCUCUUCUUUUCAUCAUAGCCAAGAAUCAACAACAUGCGCACCGGGACAUUCACAAUAUAUGCUAAUGACCACCAAAUUUCACCUUCAUCCAGUGUUGUAAAUCAAUAAAAUAAAUAUAUGCUAGGAUCUGAAUUUUAGUCAUUUUGGUAGGGCCUCAAAAGCAUUAGAGUUUCUCAUACAACGGUUGCAUGUCAUGGAAGCAAUCUUAAUGACUCUCAGCCCAUGAAGCGGCGUGGUUGCAAAGAAUGACAGGACUGAACGGCCGAUGGCCAUCAUACAAUCUGGUAGGUCUAUGCCCAAUCCUGCUUCUUCUAUCUUUCUUUCUUGGAUAGAAACUAAAACAUUUAAAUGUUUCCUUUUGAGAAUAAAUAUAGCAUGGUAUAUUAUUUCUUUCAUUAUCAUUGGUGCAUAACUUUAAAUGACUUCCUUGGUAAGAAACUACUUUGAUCCCGCAACAACUGCUCUAUUGUUGGAUAGAUUUGGAUUAUUCGAAUGUCUAGGGAAUGCAUAAUGGCUUAAACAAGAAGGUAAGUAAUGAAUUUGCGCGGGGUAAAUAUUCUGGAUGUUUAAAGACGUGACAUUGUCCAAUAACAUGUUGAACCCAACUAUCAUCUUGAGGGUUGUACCAAGAUCAUGUGGUUUUCACUUUCUCUCAGUUUACUUAUGUUACUAAUGCAUGUUUCUUCUUUAGUACGAGUAUUAAUAUUGUCAGCCAUCAUUCCUUGCCUAUUAGGAAAACUGGAGAACAUAUAUAUCUUGCAAACAAUUUGUUCCAAGUCUGCUGAAUACACUACCAAGUGAGUUGAACCAAGGAUUCCCCUGCUAAAUUUGUGGUUGUACCUCUUUUUCCCUCCUGUACCUAUCUACCAAUUUUUUUGUUCACUUAUCUGACAUUUAAAAUAGGCCAUAUAGCCUAUAAAUAAUCAUACUGUCAGAGAAAGCUUGGAGCAAGGGAGCUGUCAAGUGCAUAUUUUUUUGCACGAUGUACAUAGCUUUUAAGGCUAGCAGAACCUUGAGAAAAAGCUUAAAGCAAGGAUGCAUGUAGAUCUGUCAAGCAUGCAUGUACAUGUAGUGUUUAAGGCUACCAGAACCUUCAUAUGUCCAUUUGUUGUAUAUAGUUAUAUCUGAUGAUAUUGUAUGAAGAUUAGUUGCUCUCUAUUGGCCAAAUUACGGCUGUAGUUCCACAUGUUUGUCAGACAUGGAAAUCCUAUGGGAAUUUUUAUUGUAUAAUAAUAAUAGUUACUAAUAAUUAUUAGUCAGUAUUUGGUUUUCA